GAACUAAGCAAUUUUAGGAUCUCAUCGCUUAACACAGUAUCAACCAAAUGUGCCAAAUUCCUAAUGACAUCUGCCAUGCUCCGCCUAUGUCAAAUCCAGUUCAAGACAACUUGACAAAAUUGACUUUCUGGUUGUGUGUGAUGAAGCAACUUUGUUGAUUAUCCCAGAUGCAUCUGAAAUCAUCAUAAUUACAUGACAAAAAUGGCAUUAGAGGAUGACAGAAACAAAUCGUUGAUACGCUUUGUAAUGUUGUCUGAUAGACGUGAAGUUUAUGAACCUCUUUAGCAAAUGGAUUUGCAAACAACAUCUGGGAGAGAAGAAUUUCAUCAAGAGAGAUUGACUACUACUGAAGACAUCAUCUGGUUGUCCUGCUGGUUGGCCUCUGGCUGAAAUUGGUCAAUGGAAGAUUGGAUUUAGCUUCUGGUUCUGGUAUUUUGUUGGAUUUGGUUAAAAAGGGGGCACAGGCAAAAGGUCGGAAGGGCGGGAGGUUGGGUUAUUUCUUCUCAGCUCCCUCUCUGCUUUGGUAUGGAGUCUCUGGCAGUAGUGUCACUCCUCCAAGUGUCUAGUUCAUUCUGAGAAACUCAUUCUGUAUAGCUCCAGUUUUCACUUGGCUCUCUUCGUCCCGUUAGUCCUAGGGGUUGUAAUGGUUUUCCACUAUUGCUUGUCUCUAAGUAUCUUAUUGUACCUUAUUUAUUUUCUUACCCCUAUCCACACUUCUAUAAAGAUUUUGAAAAUUUCAAUGAUCCUGCUAGGGUAAAUUCUGUUUCUUAUUGGGACUCUACCUGACAGCUGGAUUUUAAAUUUCUGUUAAAUAGAAAUUGUGUUUCUUUAAACACAAUGCCCAUUCAAAUUUCUUGAAUAGUUGUCACAUUUUAUUUUAAGUUUAAGUAGAAAAUGUUGCUAAAAGUGAAAACGCCCAUCCCAGUAUAAAAAGAGAUAUCAAAGACUGGCUAGUGUAAUUAAGUACUAGGUGAUUUGCCUAAAAAUGAUUUGAAAUAUGCCAUAUAUGAAUUAGCCUAGGAUCAUAAAUGAGAACCCAUAUGCCUUGUCUGUAAGUUGAUGACUAGUCAAAUUAUUCAUGGUUUUCUAAAUCUCUAAUACUCAAGGGUUUAUUAUUUGCCUUACUUUAAUAAGUGAGUUUAAGAGACUCUUCUUCAAGACCAACUAAAUUGUUCCUCUGCAUUUUGUCUAACUUCCUUUUAUUCUGGUCUUUGCAGAGCAUAUCAAUCAUACCCACAAAUGUGGUAACAAAGUUGAAUUACUGAAAGAAUCAGAAUUUUCAGCUUUUCACUGGUCAUAGAUUCUACCUCUGUUUUUUAGCAUUUCAGUUUAGAAGAGGAAAAUAUGUACAGCCUUUCCAGAAUUCCUGCUCUAUUGAACUCAGAAUAGCAUAUAAUUCUAGCUUUGCUUUCAUAGGCAUUGUUGGUGUUGAUAACUCUAAGGUUGGUUUGAAUUCCUAAAUCUACACUGAGGAAACCCAUAUAUUUGCUAAUCUGUUUUUGUUUCGGGUAUUCUGAUUUUAUUAAAUUUUAGCUCAAAUGAUAAAAGGAGUUAAUUUUUAAAAACCAUUUAUAGUUUAAUUUGAACAUAAUAUGAAAAACUGUCUUCUCCUAGCAUUGUUGUACAUCGAAUGUACAAGCAUAUAAACAUGAAAUAUUUAAGCACAAACACCCGAAGGCUUUAGGCCUAUAGAGGAAGAAAAACCAAAAAUAAGGGUCAACAUAUUCAAUUUCCUUAGAGAUACUUGGAUAGAUAUAAGUAGUGACGGUUUUAUUUGUUGAAAUAUUUAAUCAACUCCCUUUGAAUACGUAAGCUGAAAUAAUAGAAGAAAUCUUGGUCUUCCUAUGUUACUGCCAAGGAAAAGGCUGGUGUAAUAUUGCUCAUGAAAUUCCUGUUGUUCAGAACAAUGACUGUCACAUAU